AGAGUUUGAUCCUGGCUCAGGACGAACGCUGGCGGCGUGCUUAACACAUGCAAGUCGAACGGUGACCCACCUUCGGGUGGUGAUCAGUGGCGAACGGGUGAGUAACACGUGGGCAAUCUGCCCCUCACACUGGGAUAACUCCGGGAAACCGGGGCUAAUACCGGAUAUCACUCUGGAGGGCAUCCUCCGGGGUUGAAAGGAUUCUGGUGAGGGAUGAGCCCGCGGCCUAUCAGCUUGCUGGUGGGGUAACGGCCCACCAAGGCGACGACGGGUAGCCGGCCUGAGAGGGCGACCAGCCACACUGGGACUGAGACACGGCCCAGACUCCUACGGGAGGCAGCAGUGGGGAAUAUUGCGCAAUGGACGAAAGUCUGACGCAGCAACGCCGCGUGAGGGAACGAAGGCCCUAGGGUUGUAAACCUCUUUCAGCAGGGACGAAGCGAAAGUGACGGUACCUGCAGAAGAAGCACCGGCUAACUACGUGCCGGCAGCCGCGGUAAUACGUAGGGUGCAAGCGUUGUCCGGAUUUAUUGGGCGUAAAGGGCUCGUAGGCGGUCCGUCACGUCGGAAGUGAAAACCUAGAGCUUAACUCUGGGCCUGCUUUCGAUACGGGCGAACUUGAGUUCGGUAGGGGAGACUGGAAUUCCUGGUGUAGCGGUGGAAUGCGCAGAUAUCAGGAGGAACACCAAUGGCGAAGGCA
rnacentral:rRNA from 1 species